ACAAUUUCAUUGCACUGUAAGACACUGAAGCCGGAAUUGUAUUAUCUUUUGUCUUAAAUCUACUCUUAUUUAUCAUUCCUGCUUUACACAACAUCAGAAAUACUUUCAUCUCGCCCUUCAGUUUGGUUGAAGUGCUUCGGUCUAGCUAUCGUGCGCUUUACAUAAUUGUGCAUUUAAUUCAUUGUCUGUGAUGGGAUGCCCAGGAUGGCGUUUUUAUUCGUAUUAUUUAUUCUACAAAGUUUAAGUAUAUAUGUGAACGGUUGCAACACAACUUACACCGCUACUUCAGGGAACAUAACCAGCCCCAAUUAUCCUGAUCCUUACGGCACCAACCUCUACUGCACUUACGAACUGUACAGUCCAACUGGUGAAGUUGUGGAACUAUAUGUUGACUUCGU